rnacentral:tRNA from 1 species
GCACCCGUAAUUCAACGGAUAGAAUGCUUGUUUCCGAUGCAAGUCGCUGGGGGUUCGAGCCCCUCCGGGUGCGCCA